rnacentral:rRNA from 1 species
UACGUAGGGUGCAAGCGUUGUCCGGAAUUAUUGGGCGUAAAGAGCUCGUAGGCGGUCUGUCGCGUCGAAUGUGAAAACCCGGGGCUCAACCCCGGGCCUGCAUUCGAUACGGGCAGACUAGAGUUCGGUAGGGGAGUCUGGAAUUCCUGGUGUAGCGGUGAAAUGCGCAGAUAUCAGGAGGAACACCGGUGGCGAAGGCGGGACUCUGGGCCUGCACUGACGCUCACGCACGAAAGCGUGGGGAGCAAACAGG